rnacentral:sRNA from 1 species
GUCUAGCCCCGAUGGAAACGGCAUCCUUUUUAUCCCGAUUUUUUUUCGGGAUAAAAAGAUAUAGUGUACAGCGGGACUAAAG